GUUAAAGUGCCGAGGCCUUAGCGUGCCGAGGUGUUAGACUGCCGAGGCCUUAGUGUGCCGAGGUGUUAGAGUGCCGAGGCCUUAGCGUGCCGAGGCGUUAGAGUGUCGAGGCCUUAGCGUGCCGAGGCGUUAGUGUCGAGGCCUUAGCAUUUCGAGGCCUUAGACUGCCGAGGCCUUAGCGUGCCGAGGUGUUAGAGUGCCGAGGCGUUAGAGUGCCGAGGCAUUAGACUGCCGAGGCCUUAGCGUGCCGAGGUGUUAGAGUGCCGAGGCCUUAGCGUGCCGAGGUAUUAGCAUGCCGAGGCCUUAGCGUGCCGAAG
ensembl:lncRNA